GCGAUGUACCACGACUGGAUCAUGCACUGAAAACAGCGGUACAACCCCGACCGGGAAGAAGGGGAAAAAUUCUGCUACUUACGUAUUCAAUAAAGUUGGUGUUCAUCAAAGGUGCUCCUAAAGAAAACAUGAAACGAUGGCCUGUAAUAAUGAAACACAUCGCUAUGAAUUUCAGUCCGUGAAUGCACUCGAGGUUGUCAGAGGUCUUCGGAAAGUUAACAACGUUCAAAGCGUUCUAUGUACUGAAAUCAAAUUUGGAAACUCACCCGAAAACCGAAAAUGUUCAAAGGAAGACAUUGACG